rnacentral:misc_RNA from 1 species
GAUAAACGCUGGCGGCGCACAUAAGACAUGCAAGUCGAACGAACUUAACCCUUUGUUUACAUUGGGAGCGGUUAGUGGCGGACUGGUGAGUAACACGUAAGCAACCUGCCUAUUAGAGGGGAAUAACAGUGAGAAAUCAUUGCUAAUACCGCAUAUGCUCACAGUAUCACAUGAUACAGUGAGGAAAGGAGCAAUCCGCUAAUAGAUGGGCUUGCGUCUGAUUAGCUAGUUGGUGGGGUAACGGCCUACCAAGGCGACGAUCAGUAGCCGGACUGAGAGGUUGAACGGCCACAUUGGGACUGAGAUACGGCCCAGACUCCUACGGGAGGCAGCAGUCGGGAAUAUUGCGCAAUGGAGGAAACUCUGACGCAGUGACGCCGCGUAUAGGAAGAAGGUUUUCGGAUUGUAAACUAUUGUCGUUAGGGAAGAUAAAAGACAGUACCUAAGGAGGAAGCUCCGGCUAACUAUGUGCCAGCAGCCGCGGUAAUACAUAGGGAGCAAGCGUUAUCCGGAAUUAUUGGGUGUAAAGGGUGCGUAGACGGAGGAACAAGUUAGUUGUGAAAUCCCUCGGCUUAACUGAGGAACUGCAACUAAAACUAUUCCCCUUGAGUGUCGGAGAGGAAAGUGGAAUUCCUAGUGUAGCGGUGAAAUGCGUAGAUAUUAGGAGGAACACCAGUGGCGAAGGCGACUUUCUGGACGAUAACUGACGUUGAGGCACGAAAGUGUGGGGAGCAAACAGGAUUAGAUACCCUGGUAGUCCACACUGUAAACGAUGGAUACUAGGUGUAGGGUGUAUUAAGCACUCUGUGCCGCCGCAAACGCAUUAAGUAUCCCACCUGGGGAGUACGACCGCAAGGUUGAAACUCAAAGGAAUUGACGGGGGCCCGCACAAGCAGUGGAGUAUGUGGUUUAAUUCGAAGCAACGCGAAGAACCUUACCAGGGCUUGACAUAUACCGGAAUAUACUAGAGAUAGUAUAGUCCUUCGGGACUGGUAUACAGGUGGUGCAUGGUUGUCGUCAGCUCGUGUCGUGAGAUGUUGGGUUAAGUCCCGCAACGAGCGCAACCCCUAUCGUUAGUUGCUAGCAGGUAAAGCUGAGAACUCUAGCGAGACUGCCGGUGAUAAAUCGGAGGAAGGUGGGGAUGACGUCAAAUCAUCAUGCCCUUUAUGUCCUGGGCUACACACGUACUACAAUGGCCGCAACAGAGGGAAGCGAAAUAGUGAUAUGGAGCAAAACCCGAAAAACGGUCUCAGUUCGGAUUGAAGGCUGAAAUUCGCCUUCAUGAAGCUGGAAUUGCUAGUAAUGGCAGGUCAGCAUACUGCCGUGAAUACGUUCCCGGGCCUUGUACACACCGCCCGUCACACCAUGAGAGUUGGAAAUACCCGAAGCCUGUGAGCUAACUAUAUGAGGCAGCAGUCGAAGGUAGAGCCAAUGAUUGGGGUGAAGUCGUAACAAGGUAGCCGUAUCGGAAGGUGCGGCUGGAUCACCUCCUUUCUAAGGAGAAAUAACUCUUAAAGAAUUUAUUGUUUAUUUUUCAAUGUGCUUUUACUUAAGUACAUUAAAAAAUAGAGUAAGGCUCAUACAAAUGACGAACUAAAAACACGACUCUAAAAUAUGGGCUCAUAGCUCAGAUGGUUAGAGCGCACGCCUGAUAAGCGUGAGGUCGAUGGUUCGAUUCCAUUUGAGCCCACCAAAGAUAUUUAAUAAAAGAAGUAUUUUAAAUAAAUACUUUUUUAUAUGUAAAUAUCUAAACAGUACAUUGAAAAAUAUAUAGAUAAAUGCGAAAAAAAAAGAUAGGUAAAACUAGCAUGCUAGAAAUAGUAUGUAAAAACAAUUAAACCGAAACAAAGAAAUUUGUAAAUUUUAAUUAACCGUAAAAGGUAAAUUGAGUAGAUGUAAGUUAUAUAAACAUAACAAAACAUAUAUUUAAUUUAUAGGUUAAGCUACUAAGAGCAUAGGGUGAAUGCCUAGGCACCAAGAGCCGAAGAAAGACGUGAUAAGCUGCGAAAAGCUACGGGGAGAAGCAAAUAUUCCGUGAUCCGUAGAUGUCUGAAUGGGGAAACCCAAUUGGUAAAAAAAGACCAAUUACCCAUAUAUAAGUAAAGUAGUAUAUGAGGAGGGAACGUAGGGAACUGAAACAUCUUAGUACCUACAGGAAAAGAAAGAAAAAUUCGAUUCCUUGAGUAGUGGCGAGCGAAAGAGGAAGAGCCUAAACUGAAAGUAGUAAUACAUUCAGGGUAAGGACUGCAUAAUCGAUCUAACAAGUCUAAUAGAAUUAUUUGGAAAAGUAAACCAUAGAUAGUGAAAGUCUAGUAUAUGAAAGAUAAGUUAGCGAGGCAGUAUCCAGAGUAGUGCAAGACACGAGAAAUCUUGUAUGAAGAAGCGGGGACCAUCCCGUAAGGCUAAAUACUACUUGGUGACCGAUAGUGGAGA